rnacentral:tRNA from 1 species
ACCUUCGUGGUGUAGUGGUCAGCACACUCGGCGCGUAUUCGAGAGGUCCGUGGUUCGAGUCCCGGCGAGGACA